GACGAACGCUGGCGGCGUGCUUAACACAUGCAAGUCGAACGGAAAGGCCCUGCUUUUGUGGGGUGCUCGAGUGGCGAACGGGUGAGUAACACGUGAGUAACCUGCCCUUGACUUUGGUAUAACUUCAGGAAACUGGGGCUACUACCGGAUAGGAGCUCCUGCUGCAUGGUGGGGGUUGGAAAGUUUCGGCGGUUGGGGAUGGACUCGCGGCUUAUCAGCUUGUUGGUGGGGUAGUGGCUUACCAAGGCUUUGACGGGUAGCCGGCCUGAGAGGGUGACCGGCCACAUUGGGACUGAGAUACGGCCCAGACUCCUACGGGAGGCAGCAGGGGGGAAUAUUGCACAAUGGGCGGAAGCCUGAUGCAGCAACGCCGCGUGCGGGAUGACGGCCUUCGGGGUGUAAACCGCUUUCGCCUGUGACGAAGCGUGAGUGACGGUAAUGGGUAAAGAAGCACCGGCUAACUACGUG
rnacentral:rRNA from 1 species